rnacentral:lncRNA from 1 species
UAAAUUUUUAUAAAUAAAAAAUAAAACUUCAUUUUAAUAUACAAAUACACAAUUUAUUUAUUGGUUUGGAGUGUGGCUCUCCUGUACCUUCACAGACAGAAGCUUCUGAACUCAGCUGGUGUCCCGGAGGACAGUCGCACUCAUAACUGCCCUCUGUGUUCAGACACGUGCCGCCGCGGCACAGCAGGUGGUCCCGCUCGCAUUCGUCGAUGUCUGCGGGACGGAGAGAGACAGAGACGGAGAUGCUGUGACACACGCAGGCUUUCAGAGGCUGCAGAAAACAGCACGGGUUCGAGUCUCACCCAUGCAGUUCUUCAUCAUCAUGAAGCCGCUCUCGUAGCCUUCGAAACACUCGCACUCGAAGCUGCCAGGCGUGUUGACGCAGACACCGUGUCCGCACAGGUCCGGAGAGAUGGUGCACUCGUCGAUAUCUGCGGGAACGACGGGAACAGCAUGGUGUUGGUGGAGUCCAGCUUGCUGCCGUGAGAACAUUCGCAGUUGAAAGAACCGGCUACGUUGCGGCACACGCCGUUGAUGCAAGGGUUGGAGUCGCAUUCGUUGAUGUCUGAAAAAGAGGAGGACAGGUAUGUGGAGAUGUCUGGACAUUCUGAAAAGAAAAAUUCACUUACGCUGUCCACAGUGAGUUCCUGUGUAGCCCUUCUGACAAGAGCAGGCAUCUUCAUUACAGACCCCUCCAUUCAUGCAUCUGACGCCGCAGGACUGGACUGUACAGAGACAAGAGAGGUGAUUAUAAUUCGUCUAGAGCACUCAAUUGUACUCAGUAACAAUGAACCAUGCAUGCAGCUAAAAGUAACUCCAUUAUCUGGGAAUAACACAAAAAAAUCAGUCAGAAACAUUCUUAUAUUACAAAAUUAAUUUCCAGGAAUUAGUUGUUUUCUAAUAAACUUGGCAUUGUACACUAUGAAUAUUGUUGCUUCUGUGAUGAAUUGCACUAAAAGUGCUGUGGAAUUUAUUUUUAAACUAUUUUAAACACUCAGAAAUUGCUAAAAUAAAUAUCACAAAUAAUUACAGAGAAAUAGCAUGUAACACACUGAUUUGCUGACUAUUUGAUGAAAAUGAAGAUUCCUGCAGAAAUGGAGAAAUAUUGAAAAUAAUAUAAAGCGCUGUAUUACAAAGCCUCAUAUUUUGAAUAUUGCUAUAUUAUUCAUCUUUACAUAGGUAACUGUAUGUAUGCCCUUACAUUGGUGUACAUUUCAGUUUACUGUAUCUCCCUCUCACUAUUUAUUUUAUUUAGUCAUACUUACAGUAAGUAUUUGAGAAAGACCUUUAAUUCUUAUACUUCUUAUUGUUUUUCCAAUAUAAGCAACCACCAAUUCGAAACUGUGGUAAGAGCAAUUUAACUCAGCCAACAAAAGCCUAUUUUCAUCCUGAUUUUCUACCAGACAUUAGAUUAACUUUCCACCAAUUUUCACGAAAUAGGAAUUCUCUUGGCACAGACAGAGUCACUUAGCAAAGAAUUUUCAGUAGAGUUUGUAUAUGAAAACAUUGUGAUUUAAAAUUGCAUUUAGCUGACAUAAGCACAAUGAAUCAUCUCUGAUGGGACUCUCGCACCAAGUUUUUCAAAAGAUUCAUGUUCCCGAUUGGUUGCAUCAAAAUGUUGCUCUCGCCAAACUCUUUGGUUCUGUCUAAACAAAGGCAUCGUGCCAUUACGCUUCAGCCCUAAUAUAAUUCAAGCUACUACUUAUCCCAGACAAAAAAAUAUGUAACAGUUCUUCAUUUACUCCUUUCAUUUUUGCCUGCCAUGAUCUAAUCCUUUUAAAGAAACUUAAAAAAGACUAAACUAAAUUAAAAUAAAUUUAUUUUUUUGUAAAAAAAAAAAAAUCUGAUUUUUGUCUGAUUUCACAUGAAGAAUGCUGCUGGAUGGAGAUCAAACAUGAGUGCUUUUUGUUUUUUCGCUGAUGACAUGCUUUCAACAGCAAGGCCUGUAAAUGUUCGAGCAUAGGCUGUGUUUUCCUAAAGCGCAGGAAAUGACUUCAUUUCAUUGGCUAGACCUGCUGACGGCCCGCUACAGGUGGUUCGUUCGCUGACCCAUGCUAAGUGAGCUGCACGUGCUGAGACACACACGCAAACACACACAUGCAAAAGGGGCUCCCCGAGGCCUGCCAGCCCACAAUGCACCUCUGUCUGCAGCAGUCACAUCUGUCAGUUUUUUACAAGCUACGCUGACGGCAGGAAACAUGAGCAAGGCUGAAAAACAGAGGUCCUUUAUGGCCGUUUCUUUCUCACGGCGCAGUGUGGAAUGGAGAUCCGUGGCCUGUUGACAUUAGGCUCACCAACGAGACAUAAUGGGGUUUAAGAUGAAAACGAAUCGUUUCUUGAAUUAUAGCAGGAAGCGCUAGUUCUUGUUCUGCGUUCUAUUACAAAUCCAGAGAUUCAUCUUAAGAGCUAUUGGCCAGGAUUAUUAUCUAAAACUAAAAUGAUUAAAUAACAUUUUCAUUACUUGAAAUACAAUAAACGUUAACGGAAAUAAAUAUAAACAAAAAAUAUAAACAUAUUUUAUUUAGUUGCCAUGGCAACAUUUCUCAUUUUAAUUUAUUGUUUAAGUUGAAGUACUAAAAUAUCUAAAACAAAACUUUUCUUUCAUUUAGCUGCCAAGGCAACAUUUCUCAUUUUCAUUGAGUUUAAGUACUAAAAUAACUAA